UUUCCGUAGGUGAACCUGCGGAAGGAUCAUUCAUAAUAAAGUGUUUUAUGGCACUUUUUAAAAAUCCAUAUCCACCUUGUGUGCAAUGUUAGAUCUCGUCAAUCUUGGCGAGAUUUUUAUACAUCAACUCAUUCUUUAACCUAUUUGUCUGAAAAAUAUUAUGAAUACUUAAUUCAAAAUACAACUUUCAACAACGGAUCUCUUGGCUCUC
rnacentral:misc_RNA from 1 species